AGUCUGUUACCUAAUGAGAUUCGAAAAGACGAAUCUCCCGUUCUAAAUUGCUCACGUCUCAGCACACGGUUGUGAUGAUGAACUGAGAAGAAGGCACGAUUAAUGAACCGAAAUAACUGGUUCCAUAGGGAAAACUGAGAGA
ensembl:ncRNA C33F10.19 ncRNA